UUGAAAGGGAAACGAUUGAAGUCAGUCGUACCUUCGGGUAAUCAGCCCUUCGGGUGCGAUUCUGUGGAGCGUGAGGAGUUAAACGCCUUCAUGCCUGCAUAUUCGUGCACUUUGGGUGUACUUGCCCGUGUGGUAGGUUAACAUCAAUUUCGGAUGUCAUAAAAUGGCUGGAGGAAUGUAGCUUCGGUCUCGUACUGAAGUGUUAUAGCCUUUGGUAGAUGUGAUGACCGGGAUUGAGGAUUGCAACGAAUACCUUUUGGGCUAUCCGUCUGAUCUCUGAAAGUUGCUCUGGUGCCGAAAGCCUGCUUACGGUUAUCAAAGUUGACGUUCAAAAGGUUAGAACGGGUUAAAUUCGUUAAGGAUGUUGACGUA
rnacentral:rRNA from 1 species